rnacentral:rRNA from 1 species
ACGGGAGGCAGCAGUAAGGAAUAUUGGUCAAUGGACGCAAGUCUGAACCAGCCAUGCCGCGUGGAGGAUGAAGGCCCUCUGGGUUGUAAACUUCUUUUAUUUGGGACGAAAAAAGAUCAUUCUUGAUCGUCUGACGGUACCAGAUGAAUAAGCACCGGCUAACUCCGUGCCAGCAGCCGCGGUAAUACGGAGGGUGCAAGCGUUAUCCGGAUUUACUGGGUUUAAAGGGUGCGCAGGCGGAUAUGUAAGUCAGUGGUGAAAUCUCCAGGCUUAACCUGGAAAUUGCCGUUGAUACUAUAUAUCUUGAAUGCUGUGGAGGUAAGCGGAAUAUGUCAUGUAGCGGUGAAAUGCUUAGAUAUGACAUAGAACACCUAUUGCGAAGGCAGCUUACUACGCAGAUAUUGACGCUCAUGCACGAAAGCGUGGGGAUCAAACAGGAUUAGAUACCCUGGUA